rnacentral:lncRNA from 1 species
AAAUUAUGUCCUAGAUGGAGCGUCAAUAGAUAAGUGGACGUGUUUGUUUACUGGUGUAGGAUGGUUCAAAUAAGUAAUUUUGCUGAAUUUUAGAUUAAAUCUGGACAUUAAUAAAUGCCGUGUUAUGCAUCCUCCCGAUUUAUUACAGUUUAUGGUUUCUUGGUUCCUUAUUCAUAUUUCAAUAAUUGUAAAUGACGUAUUAACUGUAGAAUUUGGACAGUUCGAUGAUAAUAUAGUUUUCAGAAUUAAUUUUCCGGGCUCAAAGGAUCAAAAUCAAUUUAAAAAUGAACAGUUAGUUAACGAUUUAAAUAUUGAUAAAGAAAAUGAACACUCCCUCCUAAAGCUAGAAGUCCAGACUUACUGCGAGACAUAAGAUUGAAAAGCGAGGUGUAAGUAUAGUGGUUUUAUCUAUGUCUGCCUAGAAUCAUUUAUGCCUUUGCCACAGAAUUAUGAAAUGGUAAUGUUUAGUAAGUUGGAUACAAUUUUAAUGUUAAUAAUCAAUUAUUCUGUCAAAUAAUAAAAAAAAAAAUAGAAGUAUUAGGGACUAUUUUGUAGGAAACAAAAUAGAUGCCCUCAUUGUUUCACUCCCUAAAAAGUAUUGUCAAAGGACAGGACUUCAAUUCUGAUAAGGCCAUCAAAUGACACUUGCAUCAGUCUUUGGCAGGGAAAGAAUAGAGAUUUUUACGAAUGUGAGAUGAUAAAUUUGUCCAAAAAAUCAGAAAAAGUUAUAAGUCAAAACAAGACAAUAUAUUAUUGAAUAAAGUUAUUUCUUUCCAUUAAAAAAUUGCUUUUUAUUUAAAUGUUAAAAACCACAUGAACUUUUU